ensembl:lncRNA
UGGAUCAGACCAAAGACCUGACUAUAGUAGAGAAGCAUUCUGUUUUUAUAACCAGAUACUAGAUAGGCUCCUACCAUCAUAUGUGGUGGAGUUGUAAUAAUAAUAAUAAUAAUAAUAAUAAAACUUUAUUUAUACCCCACCACCAUCUCCCCAACGGGGACUUGGGGCGGCUUACAUGGGGCCAUGCCCAAAACAAUACAAUGUAAACAGCAUAUAAAAGAACAUAUAGAAGGAAAUUACUAAAAUAUUGGGCAACAAUCUUAGAGGAAAGCAAUAAAAUAUUACAAACUAAUUUUGAGUUUAAACCCGAGCUUCUCCUGCUAGGGCUAUACGACCCUCAAACUAGAAUUAGUAUUAAUUCAGACAAACUCUUUACUUUCUUUAUCACGGCAGCAAGAAUAGUGCUAGCGAAAAACUGGAAAUCUGGAAAAGCUACUACGAAAUAAUCUUGGAUAGACAAACUGUUGGAAAUAAAGGACAUGGACAAAUCAACCUUUUUGAUUAGAAGAAGUAAUGGCAGAGCAUUGAAAGCUACAGACUGGACAUGUUUUGAGGACUACAGUAGAGUCUCACUUAUCCAACAUAAACAGGCUGGCAGGAUAAGUGAAUAUGUUGGAUAAUAAGGAGGCAUUAAGGAAAAGCCUAUUAAACAUCAAAUUAGGUUAUGAUUUUACAAAUGAAGCACCAAAACAUCAUGUUAGACAACAAAUUUGGCAGAAAAAGUAGUUCAAUACGCAGUAAUGCUAUGCAGUAAUUACUGUAUUUAUGAAUUUAGCACCAAAAUCUCACAAUAUAUUGAAAACAUUGACUAAAAAAAUGUGUUGGAUAAUCCAGAACAUUGGAUAAGCGAGUGUUGGAUAAGUGAGACUCUAAUGUAAUUACUACAUAGCAUUACUGCACAUGGAAAUUUGUUGUAUAAUAUGAUGUUUUGGUGCUUAAUUUGUAUAACGAUUACCUAAUUUGAUGUUUAAUCAGCUUUUCCAGAUUCUUAUUAUCCAACAUAUUCACUUAUCCUGCCGGCCUGUUUAUGUUGGAUAAGUGAGAGUCUACUGUAUAUUGAUAAUCUUAUAUUAUCUGCUUAGAACUGGAUUAUAUGAGGCCCCUUCUUCACAGCUGUAUAAAAUGCACACUGAAGUGGAUUAUAUGGUAGUGUGGAGUCAAGAUAAUCCAGUGCAAAGCAGAUAAUAUAAGAUUAUAAAUGGGUUAUAUAGCUGUGUGGAAGGGCCUUGAAUCUACACUGCCAUAUAAUCCAGUGCAAAUUAGAUAAUCUGUGGAAGAGGCCUAAAUCUGCCUGUCCCCUAACUGAACCCUGGCUGUCCUUUGGCUGAGUCGGUUGCUAGGAGACCAAGUGGGCAGAGAUCAGCCCUCUAAACUGGCAGCAACUGGAUAAAAACAAUUAUUGCUCUCUCUCUCUAAUUAGGACUUUAUUUUUCUUUUCUUUUUGUUGUAUCAACCUAGAGGCAUGGAUAAUAGGUUGUGUUGUCAAAUUUCAAGGUUGGGGGGCCUGUAGUUUUGCUGUUUUGUCCGGUGCUCGAAUUCCAUCACUCUUUUAUAUAUAAUAUAAUAAUAAUAAUAAUAUACAGUAGAGUCUCACUUAUCCAACACUCGCUUAUCCAACAUUCUGGAUUAUCCAACACAUUUUUGUAGUCAAUGUUUUCAAUACAUCAUGAUGUUUUGGUGCUAAAUUCGUAAAUACAGUAAUUGCUACAUAGCAUUACUACGUUUUGAACUACUUUUUCUGUCAAACUUGUAUAACAUGAUGUUUUGGUGCUUAAUUUGUAAAAUCAUAACCUAAUUUGAUGUUUAAUAGACUUUUCCUUAAUGCCUCCUUAUUAUCCAACAUAUUCGCUUAUCCAACGCUCUGCCGACC